rnacentral:rRNA from 1 species
UACAGAGGGUGCGAGCGUUAAUCGGAAUUACUGGGCGUAAAGCGCGCGUAGGCGGCUUUGCAAGUCGGGUGUGAAAUCCCCCAGGCUUAACCUGGGAACUGCAUUCGAGACUGCAUUGCUAGAGUAUGGGAGAGGGAAGUGGAAUUCCGGGUGUAGCGGUGAAAUGCGUAGAUAUCCGGAGGAACACCGGUGGCGAAGGCGGCUUCCUGGACCGACACUGACGCUGAGGCGCGAAAGCGUGGGUAGCAAACAGG